AGUGAACGCUGGCGGUAGGCCUAACACAUGCAAGUCGAACGGCAGCACAGUAAGGGCUUGCUCUUACGGGUGGCGAGUGGCGGACGGGUGAGGGAUACAUCGGAAUCUACUUUUUCGUGGGGGAUAACGUAGGGAAACUUACGCUAAUACCGCAUACGACCUACGGGUGAAAGCAGGGGAUCUUCGGACCUUGCGCGAUUGAAUGAGCCGAUGUCGGAUUAGCUAGUUGGCGGGGUAAAGGCCCACCAAGGCGACGAUCCGUAGCUGGUCUGAGAGGAUGAUCAGCCACACUGGAACUGAGACACGGUCCAGACUCCUACGGGAGGCAGCAGUGGGGAAUAUUGGACAAUGGGCGCAAGCCUGAUCCAGCCAUACCGCGUGGGUGAAGAAGGCCUUCGGGUUGUAAAGCCCUUUUGUUGGGAAAGAAAAGCAGCAGGUUAAUACCCCGCUGUUCUGACGGUACCCAAAGAAUAAGCACCGGCUAACUUCGUG
rnacentral:rRNA from 1 species